GACAGAGGUUGCAAACGUUGUUCGGAAUUACUGGGCAUAAAGCGCACGUAGGCGGUUCGUUAAGUCAUGUGUGAAAUCCCUCGGCUCAACCGAGGAAUUGCGCCUGAUACUGGCGGGCUAGAGAUCGAUAGGGGUGAGUGGAACUCCAGGUGGUGCGGUGAAAUGCGUAGAUAUCUGGAGGAACACCGGUGGCGAAAGCGGCUCACUGGAUCGAUACUGACGCUGAGGUGCGAAAGCUAGGGUAGCAAACGGG
rnacentral:rRNA from 1 species